GACAGAGGGGGCAAGCGUUGCUCGGAAUCACUGGGCGUAAAGGGCGCGUAGGCGGGAUGGCAAGUCAGUCGUGAAAUCUCUCGGCUCAACCGAGAAACGUCGGCUGAUACUGCCGUUCUUGAGGGAUGCAGAGGAGACUGGAAUUCCCGGUGUAGCGGUGAAAUGCGUAGAUAUCGGAAGGAACAUCAGUGGCGAAAGCGGCUUCCUGGACCAGAACUGACGAUCAGGCACGAAAGCGUGGGGAGCAAACAGG
rnacentral:rRNA from 1 species